rnacentral:rRNA from 1 species
UACGUAGGGUGCAAGCGUUAAUCGGAAUUACUGGGCGUAAAGCGUGCGCAGGCGGUUGUGCAAGACAGGUGUGAAAUCCCCGGGCUUAACCUGGGAACUGCAUUUGUGACUGCAUAGCUAGAGUACGGUAGAGGGGGAUGGAAUUCCGCGUGUAGCAGUGAAAUGCGUAGAUAUGCGGAGGAACACCGAUGGCGAAGGCAAUCCCCUGGACCUGUACUGACGCUCAUGCACGAAAGCGUGGGGAGCAAACAGG